GCGCAGGUGUGGAUACCACCCAUGAAUCGAGCUGCCAGCCAUUUCAAGCUUUGACAGUGCCUGUUGAGUCUCAGCAGAACUUUUGUGCUGCCUGUGGAGGAUUUCUGUCUGCUGAGGGCACAGCUGAUGUCACCGGCUCCAGUUCAAGUAGUUGGGAUGCUGAUCAAGCAGUAGUAGCUGUCUUUCACAGAAGAAUAGCUACAUUGGAAGAGUGCUUGAACAACAUGAAGCGGAAAGUUGCUACACUGCAACAACAGAAAAGCAGAGCAAACCGUAGAAACCAUGAACUCACGCGAAACAUCAAGAAGUACCUGUCACCAGAUCAACUGCAAGGCGUGUGGACUUCCACUAUGCGAAAAAGCAAUGGUCUACUGAGACUAUACAGAAAGGCCUCAAGCUCCGUUUGGCAUGAGGAUCGAGAGGCUACAAUGCCGUCAGGGAGCUUGCUGUACCCCUUCCGAGUGAAAGAACUUUACAACGUCGUGUUGGAAACUACAAGUUCUCACCAGGAAUUCUACAUGAGGUUCUGAAGUCCCUUGCUUUAAAGGUGAAAGGAUGGUGUAGCUUAAUGUAUUUGUUACUUUAUUCUUGAGAGCAUCUCCUUCAGCAGUACACCUUGAGCAAACGGUGAAACCUUUUCCAGAGCCUUCCACUAUGGCAUGUCUCAAGAUUGUAUCAUGGUUUUCGCACGUAAACCCUAAUAUUUAUUAAGCUUUCAUGUGUUGCUAGUGCCAGUGUUAGUGCCUGUCACUGCGCUCUUUGUCGUGCACGUUUUAGCGGCCAUUCAUAAAGUUUUCACAACAUAUGCUCACCUUUCCUUCACUUAUGACUUCAGGUCCUCUAACUAGGCACAAUUCCACAUAAAUUUCAAUGGGUGAUAAUCUUCUUGCAUGCAAACAUCGAAAUACAGCUUGAACUGUGCACUGCCUGUUUAUUCUUGAAAAGCAUUGUAUUUUAAAUGUCUUUAUUAAUGCCUUUGUUGCUUAAUGCAUGUUGCAUAUUUCAGAUAACCACCAUGAAGGAGCAUGAGAGGCAUGCAGUUCUGAUGCUCGAUGAAAUUCUGUUGAGCUCAGGGCUUGCAUUUGACCAAACGACUGGCACUGUUAUUGGAAGGCCAACUUUACCUUUGGCCGACGGUUCUCUGCCUCAUGCUGCAGUGGCAACGCAUGGACUUGUUUUCAUGCUGGGUGGGGUUACGCAAAGAUGAAAGCAGACAGUUGCUUAUCACUUUACUGGAAACUCGUUCAGCAGUAUUGCAGUUUAAGAACAGUUGAUUGAAAUUAUUCAGGAAUGUGAAACAAUCGGGGUUCGUAUAGAUGCAGUCGUUAGCAACAUGGGUGGUGGGAAUAUGGCACUCUGGAGAGAAAUUGGCAUUGUUGUGGGAAAGCAUUCUGUGUCAAGAGUUUCUUGUUGUCAUCCUGUUGACCAAAAUCGCAAGCUUUAUUUUAUGACAGACACCGCACAUUUGCUAAAAAACUUGAGGAACCACCUCACACGUGGUCAAUCGAUUUUCCUUCCCAAAAAUGUGGUCGAAAAGCACAAGCUGCCUUCGAAUGAGGUCAACCUUGUGCCGAUUCAGAAUCUGGUAGAAAUAGACUCUGAACUGUAAUUAAACAUAGCACCGCGCUUGAAACCAUCCUUCUUGGACCAAGGACACUAUGAGAAAAUGAAAGUGGGGCCUGCAUUUUCGUUGCUAAAUUACGAUACUGCAGCUGCACUACCUUUCUUGGUCUAAAGGGAAGAUUUGCCCCAAGAAGCGUUGACAACAGCAUGGUUCAUAGAAACCAUUUAUAGGUGGUUCAAAGUACUGACAUCACGUACAACGAAGCUUGGCAUCAGCAAGUUAAAUGAUCAGAAAUAUGAGGACUCACUGAUUUUUUUAAAUGAUAUGGUAACUCUUUUUACAGAUCUGAAGAUAGGCUCUCCAUCGAAACACGUGUGGAAGCCUGUGCAGACGGGCAUUAUUUAUGUGUGUAAAGUUGCAUUGGAACUGCAGUAUUAUUAUCUUAAUGAGAAGGGCUUCUUUUUUGUUUUGCUCGGCCGAUUUGCCCAAGAUGCUCUUGAGAAUUUGUUCUCCACUCUGAGGGCGAAGAAUGCAGUACCAAAAGCUCUUCAAUUUCGUAGUGCUAUUCGAGGUGCUACUUUGGCACAGUUCUUUCGCCCCAGUAGAAGUGGAAUCUAUGCUAUCGGCGAUGCUCCUUCCCUAGUUGGCAUCGAAAAUUGCCACGCAAGAGCUCCUAGCAGCAAUGAUGCAGAAGCUGUUGAAUAUCCCAGUGAUCUUCUCGACAUAAGCAUGAUGGAGCAUGAGUCUUUUAUUUACCUUGCUGGGUUUGUGGUAAAGAGUGUUGCAAAGCACACAGGAAUUUGUGAGCAGUGCAAAACUGCCACAGUGUCAAACGAAGUUAGUGUGCUCACAAAGUUAAAAUCCUACACUGAUGACAGCAAGCUCGUAUCACCAGGGCCAGCAGUACUUCAUUUGCUCGAAACAGCUGAGAAUAUGUUUUGAGUGAAUAGCGACAAGCUUCUGUGCAAUGAAGUUACGAUUGGUCAACUUGUGACCACCACUAAUGACAGUGUGCAAGCUGUCAAUUGUUUUCGACCUUGCCACAACAUUCAGGAGAGGUUGCUGAGAGCAUUUUUUAAAACCAGAAUUAACAUUCUUCUGCGGAAAGAGAAUAUGCGUUUGGCAGCUGAUGAAGCUAAAGAUGCAAAAACUGGCAGUCGUAGCAUUGGAAAGCAGGCUGCUACAACCAAUGUAAAAUAGUGUGUAUGCCUCAUUUCUUUCGUGUUUUCCUUCCGUUUUUCUAUGAUGCAUAUGUGGUAUGGCCUCUUAAGCUAGUCUGUAGGCACAGUACUCACGGAUUGAAAUGCAGGAAUUAUGGUUUUGUUCAUUGCCUCUGUGUUUGUUUUCUCGUUUUUCCUCUCUUUGCUUUGCAUUUCUUGCCAAACGCAAUUCUAAGCUCGUGUAUUUUUAUUUUGACUUCUGCUAGGUUGGCCUGUGGCUGAUUUUUCUCUUGUUGUCUUGAGGCUGAAGCUAUUGUUGCCCUAUGAUUUUACAGCUUUGCACUUGUUGUUGAGGGCAAUUAUAAGCUCGUGUGUUUUUAUUCCGACUACAUCUGGGUUGGCCUCUAUUUUAGUGGCUAAUUUCGCUCUUCUUCUCUUCAGAUAGUUACCCUCACAAGUCUAUGAUUAGGUCCGUGGUUUUGCUGUGCCUAUUACAUCUGUUUUAUUAUGUCUUUUACAUGUAUGUCCUGUUUCAUGCCUACAUACCUGCAUGAUAUGUUUUGCAUAUCCCCAGUAGGGGCUUUCCAUGUCUACUUCCUAUUCCUGUGCUUUCAAAAGUUCAAUAUGUGUACUUCAUUUCAUUCGCUAAAUUCCACAUGUGGAGUGUUAAUCUUGAUAAAGGUGUUUGGCACAAAUUGCGUCCACUUGUCCCUAGUUGUGAGUGCACCACGAAUGCCAUCGCUUUUCUUUACUCUUGUCAUUGUGAUGUGCACGUAUAGCAACAAGUCGCGGUUAACACAUAUUUCAUGUCAUUUAUUGUGUACACUGCAUAACUAUCAUGUAUGAUUGAGGCAGUCCUGCAUUUUCAUGAAAUGUUGAAUAAAUGUCAUGUUUUGUGCCCUCCAUUCAGUUUUUGCAUAGAAUCAACUGUACUUGAACUUUGGUGUUUACCAAUAAAGUGACAUUAUGGAAUGGGGUUUCCUAAUGAA